rnacentral:rRNA from 1 species
UUUUAUGGAGAGUUUGAUCCUGGCUCAGGAUGAACGCUGGCGGCGUGCCUAAUACAUGCAAGUCGAGCGAACAGACGAGGAGCUUGCUCCUCUGACGUUAGCGGCGGACGGGUGAGUAACACGUGGAUAACCUACCUAUAAGACUGGGAUAACUUCGGGAAACCGGAGCUAAUACCGGAUAAUAUAUUGAACCGCAUGGUUCAAUAGUGAAAGACGGUUUUGCUGUCACUUAUAGAUGGAUCCGCGCCGCAUUAGCUAGUUGGUAAGGUAACGGCUUACCAAGGCAACGAUGCGUAGCCGACCUGAGAGGGUGAUCGGCCACACUGGAACUGAGACACGGUCCAGACUCCUACGGGAGGCAGCAGUAGGGAAUCUUCCGCAAUGGGCGAAAGCC